AGACAAAUGGCACAUCUUGCUGUGGGUUCAGAGUGUUGGACUUCAAGAUUAACAAUGUGCUGUACAGCAUUUCAGUACCUCAGAGUUCCAGCAGUCAGUGAACUUCAAGUGCUACUUGUCCUAGAGAUGGUCUUUGAAAGUGAAGUAACCCUCCAGAUGGGCUCCCUUAUGUCCACGAUGUUGUUCCUGGACUGGUUCUGCAGUACUGCUGGGCUUCCUUUGGUAAUUUUAAUUCCCAACUUUCUGAUGCUCCCCUCCACCACUAUAUUUUCUGUGCCUACAACCUGGUGU